AGUAUUGGUAAAUGAAAGUACUUGUGGUUUCUUUGGGAGUUUGAGAGGCUUGAGACAAGUGGAUCCUUUAUCUCCUAUGUUUUUAUUUAGGUAAUCGAAGCUUGGAGAAAGAUAAUGGACAGAGCAGUUAGCAGAGGUCUUCUGAAGGUCUUUAAUGCUUCAUUUAAAGGGCAGAGUAACGUGACCAUUACAAAUAUGUUGUUCGUAGAUGAUAUUUUGAUAUUUUGUGAUGCAGAUGUCCCAGUCUAAUUUUUUGAGACAGGUCCUUAUCUAGGUUCAGGAGUAAAGAUCAAUCUUAGCAAAUGUGAAGUCACACCAGUGGGAGCAGUAAAUAAUAUUGAGGAAAUUGCGCAAGAGUUGAAUUGCAAGUGAGGAAUCUACCUUCUACAUAUCUGGAACUGCUUUUGGGAGCUUCUAGCAAAGAUCUCUGAUCUUGGGCGUAUUUAUACGUAAAAAUGCCAAGAAUUACCCAUAAUAGGACUUGUUCUAUGAACUAAAAUGUGUUAUUCCUCUUGUGUUUGAUCUAUAAUUGCAUUCCUUAUCUAAUGUACAUGAUUAGUUGAUACAGGGCUAAAUUGUGAUGAAAUUGGACGUAAUCGGAUGCAUUAAUGUGAAGCUAAUGAUGAAUGGAAACAUUGGGAGUGAUUUGCUGAGCAUGAGGAUACUGGAUUGAUCUCAAAACACAUGGAAAUAAAGAUGGAAUCAAGGAAAGAGGCAACGAGCUUGUGACACCUCCCACUUUAAGCUUAAGUCAUAGUUGUAAGUGGAGGUGUUAUGGCUGCAUAAUUGAUCUUGUUGUGCUUUAAAUUUUGUUGGAAAUCUACUUGGAAUGAUUCAUGUAUGUUUUGGGGGUUAUAGGGGUGUAAAUCAUAGCUGGGGAAUAAAGAUUUAACUAUUGCAUCAUCGCAACAGUACAAGGGAAGGAAGAAGGGCUGCAAGCAGCGGGCUACUGCCAGGAAGCCCCUCAAAGGGCAUUUUUGUCCUUUCCUUUUUACCUAAAACCCCAAAUGAUUAUAUCCCCUUCUCCAUCAGUUUCGUACAUUUUUUUAUGAUCCUUCAUGUUUUAAAUCAUCAGUUUCAUCCAUCAGCUUAACAAGUUAAAAAACUCCCUGCCCCAUCAAUUUCACACAUCUCCUUCUCCAUCACCUUCACACAUCUCUUUCUCUAUGAGUUCACAUGUCUCAUUCUCCAUGAGUUUUAUUUAAUAUUCCAUCACUGAAUAUUCCUUUUCCUCUUCUCAAAUGCUGCUAUAAUAAUCUCAAGAGAAUUGGUUCAACAAAACAAAUUCACAUCUCCUCUUCCGAUCUCAAGUUUUUCAAUGCUUAGAGGUUCUGGAUCUCAAGUCCGUGGUCAAACACCUUAUUAGGAUCCGCCGUUUGUGAGCCUCUUUUCUACCAGGAAGCUGGACGAGAUAUGCUGACUUCUUUAUAUUUUCUUUCCUUUCAGUAUUGGUACUUAUUAGAGGUUUCACAAGCUGGUGUAGUUAUCAAACAAACUUUGUAAUUUUCAGUCUUUAUUCAUUUUAACUAUUAGUAUUGUUUAAUAUUAAGUUGUGUUAAUAAACCUUUAUGAUAAUAUUUAUCUUUUGAGAAAUCUUAUUUCAAUC